rnacentral:antisense_RNA from 1 species
CUUGAGGGAGCCCAGCAGCAGGGGCCUGUCGGCGGGGCGGUCCUGGCCGUACGUGUCGAUGACGGCCUGUGCCUC